GUGCUAAGGUAGCAUAAUCAUUUGCUACUUAAUUGGUAGCUGGAAUGAAAGGUUAAACUAGCUUACUCAGUUUGUUGUGUUUUGUAAGAAAUUAAAGUCGAGGUAAGAAUUCUUUGAUCUGCUAGGGGACGAUAAGACCCUAGAAGCUUAACAAUAAGAGUAUUUAUUAGUUAUAAAAAUUAAUUUGUUUUACUGGGGCGGUAAAGGUAUAUAAACUAUUAGUGUAUUGAUAGAUCCUUAAAAUAAAGAUAAAACGGGAAAGUUACUCUAGGGGUAACAGUGCAAUAUUUUUGGAGAGAUCAUAUCGAUAAAAAUGUUUGCAACCUCGAUGUUGAAUUAAGAUGUCUACGUGAAGCAGCAGGUACGUGAGAGGGUUUGUUC
rnacentral:rRNA from 1 species